UACGGAGGGGGCGAGCGUUGUCCGAAGUUACUGGGCGUAAAGGGCGCGUAGGCGGGUUGGUAAGUCAGACGUGAAAUCCCGGGGCUCAACUCCGGGCCUGCGUUUGAAACUGCCAGCCUAGAGUGCAGGAGAGGAAAGCGGAAUUCCUGGUGUAGAGGUGAAAUUCGUAGAUAUCAGGAGGAACACCAGUGGCGAAGGCGGCUUUCUGGGCCGAUACUGACGCUGAGGAGCGAAAGCGUGGGGAGCGAACAGG
rnacentral:rRNA from 1 species